AUUGAUUCCUUUUAUUAAAUUGCUCUACCUUUUCCCAAAAAUCCACUGCCACCUGUAAUCAGAAUAGUCUUGUUCUUGUAGAAUGAUUGUAUUGCAGAGGUCAUAACGAAUCGUAUCCUUGUUCACACACACACACUCGAUCAAUUAUUACACAGUUCACAAAUGAUAACUCCGAGAGCGGACGACCGGAAGGACAGUCGCGUGUUAACUAAACGCAGCCAAGAACCUGAUCACCCUAGAACAAACACCUUUGCCCUCAUUGCAAGCAGUUGCAUAAUUGAAAUAACAGCGAAUUACUGUGUAUACGUAG